rnacentral:rRNA from 1 species
AUUGAACGCUGGCGGCAGGCUUAACACAUGCAAGUCGAGCGGAGUGGUGGUGCUUGCACUAUCACUUAGCGGCGGACGGGUGAGUAAUGCUUAGGAAUCUGCCUAUUAGUGGGGGACAACAUUUCGAAAGGAAUGCUAAUACCGCAUACGUCCUACGGGAGAAAGCAGGGGAUCUUCGGACCUUGCGCUAAUGGAUGAGCCUAAGUCGGAUUAGCUAGUUGGUGGGGUAAAGGCCUACCAAGGCGACGAUCUGUGGCGGGUCUGAGAGGAUGAUCCGCCACACUGGGACUGAGACACGGCCCAGACUCCUACGGGAGGCAGCAGUGGGGAAUAUUGGACAAUGGGCGGAAGCCUGAUCCAGCCAUGCCGCGUGUGUGAAGAAGGCCUUAUGGUUGUAAAGCACUUUAAGCGAGGAGGAGGCUACUUUAGUUAAUACCUAGAGAUAGUGGACGUUACUCGCAGAAUAAGCACCGGCUAACUCUGUGCCAGCAGCCGCGGUAACAC